AUUCCUGUCAUCUUGAAGGCAAGCCACCGAAAGCUUCAUGACCACAAGAGGGCGUGUUCUGUUUUGAAUUUAAUGUAUCUGACUGCUCUCAGUGCCAGUCACAACAUCUGAACAGGUGCGUACAGCAUCUCUGCCACUUCUUCUGUCCUCUGCCUGAGUGCAUUGUGCCUGGCCUGGACAGACCACAUCUCAAAAGGAGACAAGAAUGA
rnacentral:lncRNA from 1 species